rnacentral:tRNA from 1 species
UGGAUUGUAGCUUAACCGGCAAAGCGUCGCACUGUGAAUGCGAAAGAUGCGUGUUCAAACCACGUCAUUCCACCCA